rnacentral:misc_RNA from 1 species
AAGUCGUAACAAGGUUUCCGUAGGUGAACCUGCGGAAGGAUCAUUAACACGUAUCCAAACGUUAACCCCCCUGUGAACCUUCAAUGUGCUCGUACACUUUGUCAAAGCGAGGCAAUCCGUGUGCAUGUUGCGCGAGGCAAGUGGCCUGGCAUUCCCAAGCAGUUAAUGUCUGAAAGUGUCAUUAGCUGUGUAAGGAUGACGCAGUAACGAUCGUUGGAGGCCGACACGGCCGACGACCGGGUCACCGGGCGCAAGCCCCUUUAUCACCACUUAAUGCAUGACAGACGCGCCAGCGCUUAAUUGUGCGGCGACCAAAAACCGAACAACUGUUAACAAUGGAUAUCUUGGUUCUC